GAUGAACGCUGGCGGCGUGCCUAAUACAUGCAAGUCGAGCGAACAGACGAGGAGCUUGCUCCUCUGACGUUAGCCGCGGACGGGUGAGUAACACGUGGAUAACCUACCUAUAAGACUGGGAUAACUUCGGGAAACCGGAGCUAAUACCGGAUAAUAUAUUGAACCGCAUGGUUCAAUAGUAAAAGACGGCUUUGCUGUCACUAAUAGCUGGAUCCGCGCCGCAUUAGAUGGUUGUUAAGGUAACGGCGUACCAAGGCAACGAGGCGUAGCCGACGUGAGAGAGGGAUCGGCCACACUGGAACUGAGACACGGACAAGACUCCUACGGGAGGCAGCAGUAGGGAAUGUGCCGCAAUGGGCGAAAGCAUGACGGAGCAACGCCGAGUGAGUGACGAAGGUCUUCGGAUCGUAAAACUCUGUUAUUAGGGAAGAACAAAUGUGUAAGUAAAUAUGCACGGCUUGACGGUACCUAAUCAGAAAGCCACGGCUAACUACGUG
rnacentral:rRNA from 1 species